rnacentral:rRNA from 1 species
AGAGUUUGAUCCUGGCUCAGGACGAACGCUGGCGGCACGCUUAACACAUGCAAGUCGAACGAGAGAAGAGAAGCUUGCUUUUCUGAUCUAGUGGCGGACGGGUGAGUAACACGUGAGCAAUCUGCCUUUCAGAGGGGGAUACCGAUUGGAAACGAUCGUUAAUACCGCAUAACAUAAUUGAACCGCAUGAUUUGAUUAUCAAAGAUUUAUCGCUGAAAGAUGAGCUCGCGUCUGAUUAGCUAGUUGGUAAGGUAACGGCUUACCAAGGCGACGAUCAGUAGCCGGACUGAGAGGUUGAUCGGCCACAUUGGGACUGAGACACGGCCCAGACUCCUACGGGAGGCAGCAGUGGGGAAUAUUGCACAAUGGAGGAAACUCUGAUGCAGCGAUGCCGCGUGAGGGAAGAAGGUUUUAGGAUUGUAAACCUCUGUCUUCGGGGACGAAAAAAGACGGUACCUGAGGAGGAAGCUCCGGCUAACUACGUGCCAGCAGCCGCGGUAAUACGUAGGGAGCGAGCGUUGUCCGGAAUUACUGGGUGUAAAGGGAGCGUAGGCGGGAUCGCAAGUCAGAUGUGAAAACUAUGGGCUUAACCCAUAAACUGCAUUUGAAACUGUGGUUCUUGAGUGAAGUAGAGGUAAGCGGAAUUCCUAGUGUAGCGGUGAAAUGCGUAGAUAUUAGGAGGAACAUCAGUGGCGAAGGCGGCUUACUGGGCUUUAACUGACGCUGAGGCUCGAAAGCGUGGGGAGCAAACAGGAUUAGAUACCCUGGUAGUCCACGCUGUAAACG